rnacentral:rRNA from 1 species
GGCGCACGGGUGCGUAACGCGUAUGCAACCUACCUCAUACUGGAGAAUAGCCCUUGGAAACGGGGAUUAAUACUCCAUGGUAUCAUUCUUUCGCAUGUUAGAAUGAUUAAAGAAUUUCGGUAUGAGAUGGGCAUGCGUCCCAUUAGCUUGUUGGUGAGGUAACGGCUCACCAAGGCUACGAUGGGUAGGGGGCCUGAGAGGGUGGUCCCCCACACUGGUACUGAGACACGGACCAGACUCCUACGGGAGGCAGCAGUGAGGAAUAUUGGUCAAUGGAGGAAACUCUGAACCAGCCAUGCCGCGUGAAGGAUGACGGCCCUAUGGGUUGUAAACUUCUUUUGAAUAGGAAGAAACUUAUCUACGUGUAGAUAACUGACGGUACUAUUAGAAUAAGGAUCGGCUAACUCCGUGCCAGCAGCCGCGGUAAUACGGAGGAUCCAAGCGUUAUCCGGAUUCAUUGGGUUUAAAGGGUCCGUAGGCGGGUCUUUAAGUCAGUGGUGAAAGCCGACAGCUCAACUGUCGAACUGCCAUUGAUACUGGAGACCUUGAGUACAAAUGAAGUAGGCGGAAUGAGUCAUGUAGCGGUGAAAUGCAUAGAUAUGACUCAGAACACCAAUUGCGAAGGCAGCUUACUAACAUGUAACUGACGCUGAGGGACGAAAGCGUGGGGAGCGAACAGGAUUAGAUACCCUGGUAGUCCACGCCGU